GUUUGGAACAUCAAGAAUUAUAAAUCAUAAACGAAAACACACAGAAAAACUAUAAAAUAAAACAGAACAAACACUUAUUUUUAGUAACACAUUUUAUCUGUGCGUCAACACACAAGCUUUAAGAAUCAAACACAUGAAGUUAGUUACUAACAUUCAUAGAGUUUAACAUCCAUCUUAACACGGAAAUACUUAGCCCCUUGAAAUAUAUCCGUCACGAAGGUAGCGAUCCCACGAGCCAUGAAGAAAUCACCCGUCCCACCCACGACCGAUAGAUCUCUUGUCGGCUCCAUCAUCAAAUCCGCACCCAUUAUGUUCAAUGUCCCUUUGUGUUGCGUCGAGUUAAACACCAAGGUGUAGCAAAACCACGCAUUGUAGUCCAUCUUCAUGUCAUAGAAAUAGAAGCCUUGUGCGCGAGCUAGAGGUUCUGAGAGAUAGUUCUUGUCCAUUGUUAUGGGGCCAUCAAAGAUCACAAACUUACCGAACUUGAAGUUUCCUAAUCCUGGUGGGCUCACUAUAGCGGCUGAGGUUGCGUUUGCUACAUUGUCACCAUCGUAGAGGAUGUCAUGAAAGUAGAAGGAGAAGUGUUUGCAAGGUUUUCUCUGAUCAAAUGUUUUUCGGGACGAAAAAACUGUAUGGGAAAAGAGGACUAAUAAGAAGAAUGAGAAGAGGGACUUAAGGAGUUGUUUCUCUACAAGAGAUGCCAUGGUUAGCUAGAGACGACUAGUGAGUUGUGUAAAUUGAAGAUCGCUUACACCCCCAUUAAUAUAGAAGUUAUUCACAUGAGUUAGUGAAGAUAAUUUAUUUGGAUAAAAUGAAAGAAUUUUAAAAGUUUGAGGGGACUGCUAAAUUGGUUGUUCACGUACGUUUCGUCAAUUAAAAUAUAAAUUCGAUUGACAAGAAAGGUUUAAGAUCAUGUGGCGGGGUUGGUGCAAAACUAAGCAACAAGUUAAUUUCACUUUCUUGAAAGGUUUAAUGAUUUAAUACUGUUAAACCGGUUGGUGGCCUAUGUUGGAUCCAACCUCACAUUUUAUCUGUGCGUCAACACACAAGCUUUAAGAAUCAAACACAUGAAGUUAGUUACUAACAUUCAUAGAGUUUAACAUCCAUCUUAACACGGAAAUACUUAGCCCCUUGAAAUAUAUCCGUCACGAAGGUAGCGAUCCCACGAGCCAUGAAGAAAUCACCCGUCCCACCCACGACCGAUAGAUCUCUUGUCGGCUCCAUCAUCAAAUCCGCACCCAUUAUGUUCAAUGUCCCUUUGUGUUGCGUCGAGUUAA
rnacentral:lncRNA from 1 species